rnacentral:lncRNA from 1 species
AUGGGGAUAAACACCAGUCCUGAGGGGGAUAUGCAGAUGAUACAGAAAACAGACCAGGGAGCACUUUCCAACUCUCCGUUCGCCCAGCACCACCAGGUACCCCUGAACCGGACAGGCUGGUAUCAGCAGCGCUGCCCGCCACAGAUCACGAAUCAAGGACUCAGGAGGGAAGCACACACACACUCCUCAGAAUCCACCAGCCUCCCCAGGAGAAAGUGA